rnacentral:rRNA from 1 species
UACGGAGGGUGCGAGCGUUGUCCGGAAUCAUUGGGCGUAAAGGGCGCGUAGGUGGCCCGGUCAGUUCGUGGUGAAAGCGCGGGGCUCAACCCUGCGUCGGCCAUGAAUACUGCCGCGGCUGGAGCACUGUAGAGGCAGGCGGAAUUCCGGGUGUAGCGGUGGAAUGCGCAGAUAUCAGGAGGAACACCAAUUGCGAAGGCAGCUCGCUGGGACGUUACUGACGCUGAGACGCGAAAGCGUGGGGAGCAAACAGG